UGCUCACUCAUCUUUCUGUCAAA
rnacentral:miRNA from 1 species